AACGAACGCUGGCGGCAUGCCUAACACAUGCAAGUCGAACGAAGGCUUCGGCCUUAGUGGCGCACGGGUGCGUAACGCGUGGGAAUCUGCCCCUCGGUUCGGAAUAACAGUUAGAAAUGACUGCUAAUACCGGAUGAUGACUUCGGUCCAAAGAUUUAUCGCCGAGGGAUGAGCCCGCGUAAGAUUAGGUAGUUGGUGGGGUAAAGGCCUACCAAGCCGACGAUCUUUAGCUGGUCUGAGAGGAUGAUCAGCCACACUGGGACUGAGACACGGCCCAGACUCCUACGGGAGGCAGCAGUGGGGAAUAUUGGACAAUGGGCAAAAGCCUGAUCCAGCAAUGCCGCGUGAGUGAUGAAGGCCUUAGGGCUGUAAAGCUCUUUUACCGGGAUGAUAAUGACAGUACCUGGAGAAUAAGCUCCGGCUAACUCCGUGCCAGCCGCCGCGGUAA
rnacentral:rRNA from 1 species